rnacentral:rRNA from 1 species
GUGGGGAAUAUUGGGCAAUGGGGGCAACCCUGACCCAGCGACGCCGCGUGAGGGAAGAAGGCCUUAGGGUCGUAAACCUCUGUUGUGUGGGAAGAAGGAAGUGACGGUACCACACGAGGAAGUCCCGGCUAACUACGUGCCAGCAGCCGCGGUAAUACGUAGGGGACGAGCGUUGUCCGGAAUUACUGGGCGUAAAGGGCGCGUAGGCGGUCAUUUAAGUCAGCUGUGAAAUGGUCCGGCUCAACCGGAUCAUGCGGUUGAAACUGGAUGACUGGAGUGCUGGAGAGGCAAGUGGAAUUCCCAGUGUAGUGGUGAAAUGCGUAGAUAUUGGGAAGAACACCGGUGGCGAAGGCGACUUGCUGGCCAGCAACUGACGCUGAGGCGCGAAAGCCAGGGGAGCAAACGGGAUUAGAAACCCCUGUAGUCC